GACGAACGCUGGCGGCGUGCUUAACACAUGCAAGUCGAACGGAAAGGCCCUGCGUUUGUGGGGUGCUCGAGUGGCGAACGGGUGAGUAACACGUGAGUAACCUGCCCUUGACUUUGUGAUAACUUCAGGAAACUGGGGCUAAUACCGGAUAGGAGCUCCUGCUGCAUGGUGGGGGUUGGAAAGUGUCGGCGGUUGGGGAUGGACUCGCGGCUUAUCAGCUUGUUGGGGGGGUAGUGGCUUACCAAGGCUUUGACGGGUAGCCGGCCUGAGAGGGUGACCGGCCACAUUGGGACUGAGAUACGGCGCAGACGCCUACGGGAGGCAGCAGUGGGGAAUAUUGCACAAUGGGCGGAAGCCUGAUGCAGCAACGCCGCGUGCGGGAUGACGGCCUUCGGGUUGUAAACCGCUUUCGCCUGUGACGAAGCGUGAGUGACGGUAAUGGGUAAAGAAGCACCGGCUAACUACGUG
rnacentral:rRNA from 1 species